GUGCCUAUAGCACAGUGGUUAGUGCACCGGGUUGUGGUCCCGGCUACGAGGGUCCGAUUCCCUCUAGGCACCCCA
rnacentral:tRNA from 1 species